ACGUACGCUGGCGGCACGCCUAACACAUGCAAGUCGAACGAAGUAGCAAUACUUAGUGGCAGACGGGUGAGUAACAUGUAGGUAUCUGCCCUUUGGCCUGGAAUAACACGAGGAAACUUGUGCUAAUACCGGAUAAGUCUUUACGGAGAAAGCUUUAUGCACCAUUGGAGGAGCCUGCACUAGAUUAGUUUGUUGGUGGGGUAAUGGCCUACCAAGGCUGUGAUCUAUAGCUGAUUUGAGAGGAUGAUCAGCCACAUUGGGACUGAGACACGGCCCAAACUCCUACGGGAGGCAGCAGUGGGGAAUCUUGCACAAUGGAGGAAACUCUGAUGCAGCGAUGCCGCGUGAGUGAAGAAGGCCUUUGGGUUGUAAAGCUCUUUCGUCGGGGAAGAAAAUGACUGUACCCGAAUAAGAAGGUCCGGCUAACUUCGUGCCAGCAGCCGCGGUAAUACGAAGGGACCUAGCGUAGUUCGGAUUUACUGGGCUUAAAGAGUUCGUAGGUGGUUGAAAAAGUUGGUGGUGAAAUCCCAGAGCUUAACUCUGGAACUGCCAUCAAAACUUUUCAGCUAGAGUAUGAUAGAGGAAAGCAGAAUUUCUAGUGUAGAGGUGAAAUUCGUAGAUAUUAGAAAGAAUACCAAUGCGAAGGCAGCUCUCUGGAUCAUUACUGA
rnacentral:rRNA from 1 species